CUUUGGUGUAUUUUGCCAUCUCUACAUUUAAUUCUAGCCACUAAAAUCUUUUCCAGUCUGAAGUGACUUGGGGUUACCAUUCUAGGGCAGCUAGAAUUGUUUAACGACCAAAGAUUUCACCCUCUCACAAAACCCAGAGCCAUCUACACUCAGAAUGAGUCUUCCUGCCCAACUAUCUCCUGUUGGUUGGGUUUUACUGGACUUAGCCCUCUUGAGGGCAGGAGUGUCUUCCAUGCUGCUAGGAAGAACCCUGAUGCCAUCACAUUGGGCACCACGGAAUGCCAUUACCUCCUCAUCUACCUUCAUGGUCUGCGGGGUCAUAGUGUAUCCACGUGGACUCGGCAGAUCUCUUGCGCUUGAUGCUGGUCCCACCACAACACUCAUGGCCACAAGGAAACCACAGGUGCUCUUCAUGGAGCAUGGGGUUGGGGGGUGGUUUAGUCAACGAGAAAGACCUGGGUAGCUGACAACUUAACUUUCAACAAGGACAAACACAAGGACUAAAACAGAAAUGAAAAACAAAUUUCAACACAGAUGAAAAUGCUAGACCAGGUGGGACCCAGAGGGAAGACAGGAGAGAAAAAGAACCUUCUCCAACCACUGUGAAGUGUGAGCCACUGCGCCCGGCCCUCAAUGAUUUCCUUAAUGAUGUCUGGGAACUCAGCUGCUG
rnacentral:lncRNA from 1 species